rnacentral:rRNA from 1 species
GACGAAGGGGGCUAGCGUUGUUCGGAAUUACUGGGCGUAAAGCGUGUGUAGGCGGUUGUCAUAGUCAGGCGUGAAAGCCUUGAGCUCAACUCAAGAAAUGCGCUUGAUACUGGGCAGCUAGAGGACCGGAGAGGAUAGUGGAAUUCCCAGUGUAGUGGUGAAAUACGUAGAGAUUGGGAAGAACACCAGUGGCGAAGGCGGCUAUCUGGACGGUUUCUGACACUAAGACGCGAAAGCGUGGGGAGCAAACAGG